CUCCUCAUUUGCUUAUAAUGUCUCACUUUCUACCCUCACUCUUCACCAGCUCCCAUGGCGAGCCGUUGCUCUGUCGCCGCUCUGAAACGCCGGUUCCCUCUUUUCGACACGUGGAGGCUGACAUCAUCACUCACCUCUUCCUCUUCCUCUUCCUCUUCCUCUUCACUGGCCGGCGAGCUCAAGAGCCAGAUUUCCAAGCUCAAAAGUCCGGGCCGGACCGCAACCGCCGUGGUUCAAGAUUGGGACACGUGGAGGCUGACGUCAUCACGCACCUCUUCCUCUUCCUUUUCACUGGUCGGCGAGCUCAAGAGCCAGAUUUCCAAGCUCAAAAGUCCGGGCCGGACCGCAACCGCCGUGGUUCAAGAUUGGGUCAGCCAAGGCCACAAGGUCUCCGUCCCCCAGCUCCGCCGCAUUUCCAUCC
rnacentral:lncRNA from 1 species